rnacentral:tRNA from 1 species
GCCAGAGUGGUGGAACUGGCAGACACGCACGACUCAAAAUCGUGUGCGACUUGGUCGCGUGUGGGUUCGAUUCCCACCUCUGGCACCA